rnacentral:rRNA from 1 species
GGUUAAGCGAACAAGCGUACACGGUGGAUGCCCUGGCAGUCAGAGGCGAUGAAGGACGUGCUAAUCUGCGAUAAGCGCCGGUAAGGUGAUAUGAACCGUUAUAACCGGCGAUUUCCGAAUGGGGAAACCCAGUGUGACUCGUCACACUAUCGUUAAGUG